CAGCUGUGUGCCUGGUAGUCGUUGCAGUCAGCAGGUAGCUGAGCAGUAUGUCUACAUUUCACAUGUUUCACAUUGUUCUCCUCGUGGGCGUUAAUACGAGAAGUUUUCUUGCUAGCGCUGGGAACAUUUUCUUCUAUCCGAAAGGGAAAUUCCCACAAGUAGCAUGAACAUAGGGUCAGUGCUCUGGCCGACAGAUUUAGCUGAAACCUGUGCUCCUGACUCCUGAACUCGUGCGAAUGGGGGUCUAACGGGUUCCUUGAGAUGGUCGGGCCAGGCAGGAAGGAAAGAUCAAAAUAUGUGAAGUUUUUCCUUGGUCCGAUGCAGUGGAGUGUAAGAAAAAACUAUUAACGUACAUCAUCGAGCCACGCACGCCACUGCUGGACAAGUACAACAGAAGGAGAAAACUGCAGGUGCAGGUGUCAUUUUGGUUGCCACCUGGCCCCAAAGACAAUUUCAUCCAGAGUGACCUUUGCAGAAGAGAUGGAGAAAGGUUAGAAGAUUGGUUAGAAGAUGACUGCCCAUCUCAUCUUCUUCACGCAACAGGAUUCAACUGAGACCUUAAAAAUUCCAGAAAAAAAACCUCUUAAAAAAUAAAUUAGAAAAAAAAAAAAGAAACA
rnacentral:lncRNA from 1 species